rnacentral:rRNA from 1 species
AAAGAAACUAACAAGGAUUCCCCUAGUAACGGCGAGUGAAGAGGGAAGAGCUCAAAUUUUAANUCUGCCUUGUUCCAAGGUCGAGUUGUAAUUUGAAGAAGCGUUUUCUUGGGCUCGCGGCCGGUAGAAGUUCUUUGGAACAGGACAUCAUAGAGGGUGACAAUCCCGUCCGUGACCGGUCGUGCGUUCAUCUACGAUACGCUUUCAAAGAGUCGAGUUGUUUGGGAUUGCAGCUCCAAACGGGUGGUAAACAUCACCUAAGGCUAAAUAUUGGCGAGAGACCGAUAGCGAACAAGUACCGUGAGGGAAAGAUGAAAAGAACUUUGAAAAGAGAGUUAAACAGUACGUGAAAUUGUUGAAAGGGAAACGAUUGAAGUCAGUCGUGCUGGCGCGAAAUCAACCCUCUCGUCUUGAGAUCACAUGGCGCGACGAGCCUCAAAACCGUCACGAAGCGUGAACUCUUGACGAAAAGGUGCACUUUCGUGUCCGCUGGUUAACAUCAAUUUCGAACGUCAUAAAAAGGCUGGAGGGAUGUGGCUCCUUCGGGAGUGUUAUAACCUUUAGCGGAAUGUGGCGUUCGGGAUUGAGGAUUGCAACGAAUACCUUCAGGGCUGUUCCACCUGGCUUCUCAUUGGUAUCCUGGUGACGACAGCUUGCUGACGUCGUUAGGAUCAGCUUCUGAACAGGCUAGAGUGUGAGCAAAUUCGUWAAGGAUGUUAACGUAAUGGCUUUAAACGACCCGUCUUGA